GGGAAGAAAAAGGAUCUCUCUGCUGCCGAAAAGAGUGAAAUAGUUCAAUGCCUUGGACAAGGUAUGAAAACAUUAGAUAUUUCACGAAACCUUAAGCAUGACCAUUGCACUAUUAAGAGAUUUGUGGCUGAUUCAGAGCACAGACAGGUUCAUGCAGAUAAAGGCACAUUGAGGAAGAUUUCUGCCAGAUCCAUGCAUCGGAUCAAGAGAGCAGCUGCUAAAAU